rnacentral:misc_RNA from 1 species
GAUGAAGAACGUAGCGAAAUGCGAUAAAUAAUGUGAAUUGCAGAAUUCAGUGAAUCAUCGAGUCUUUGAACGCACAUUGCGCCCCCUGGUAUUCCGGGGGGCAUGCCUGUCCGAGCGUCAUUGCUGCCCUCAAGCACGGCUUGUGUGUUGGGCCCCCGUCCCCCCCUCCCGGGGGACGGGCCCGAAAGGCAGCGGCGGCACCGCGUCCGGUCCUCGAGCGUAUGGGGCUUCGUCACCCGCUCUUGUAGGCCCGGCCGGCGCUUGCCGACACAUCAAUCUUUUUUCCAGGUUGACCUCGGAUCAGGUAGGGAUACCCGCUGAACUUAAGCAUAUCAAUAAGCGGAGGA